CCUACGGGACGCAGCAGUGGGGAAUUUUGCGCAAUGCUCGUAAGAGUGACGCAGCGACGCCGCGUGAAUGACGAAGGCCUUCGGGUCGUAAAGUUCUUUCGACAGGGAAGAAAAUGCCUAUAAGUAACUGUGUAUGUAUUGACGGUACCUGUAUAAGCAGCCCCGGCUAACUCCGUGCCAGCAGCCGCGGUAAUACGGAGGGGGCGAGCGUUGUUCGGAGUGACUGGGCGUAAAGAGCACGUAGGCGGUGUUGUAAGUCAUUAGUCAAAGACUAGAGCUCAACUUUAGUAAGGCUAGUGAUACUA
rnacentral:rRNA from 1 species